AUUGAACGCUGGCGGAAUGCUUUACACAUGCAAGUCGAACGGCAGCACGGACUUCGGUCUGGUGGCGAGUGGCGAACGGGUGAGUAAUACAUCGGAACGUGCCCAGUCGUGGGGGAUAACGUAGCGAAAGCUACGCUAAUACCGCAUACGAUCUACGGAUGAAAGCGGGGGAUCGCAAGACCUCGCGCGAUUGGAGCGGCCGAUGGCAGAUUAGGUAGUUGGUAGGGUAAAGGCCUACCAAGCCGACGAUCUGUAGCUGGUCUGAGAGGAUGAUCAGCCACACUGGGACUGAGACACGGCCCAGACUCCUACGGGAGGCAGCAGUGGGGAAUUUUGGACAAUGGACGCAAGUCUGAUUCAGCCAUUCCGCGUGCAGGAUGAAGGCCCUCGGGUUGUAAACUGCUUUUGUACAGAACGAAAAGGCUCUGGUUAAUACCUGGGGCUCAUGACGGUACUGUAAGAAUAAGCACCGGCUAACUACGUGCCAGCCGCCGCUGUAA
rnacentral:rRNA from 1 species